rnacentral:rRNA from 1 species
CACUUUAAAAAGCGUCACAGCUUAAUAUCUAACCCAAUAAUACCAUAAUUAACAAAAAACCCUUCAAUAGUACUGAAUACUUCUAUACCACUAUAGAACUUUUUAUGUUAAGACUAGUAACAAGAACCUAACUUCUCUUACAAUGUAAAUAUACACACCACUCCGUAGUUAACACAUGAACAAAAUGUAAUAACCCACAAGAAAAACCUACAACAACCACUGUUAACCUAAUAUAAGAACAUUUCCAGAAAGAUAUCAAAAAAAAGAAGGAACUCGGCAAAAUAAGAUUCCGCCUGUUUACCAAAAACAUCGCCUCUUGCAUAAUAUAAGAGGUCCUGUCUGCCCAGUGACUUAGUUCAACGGCCACGGUAUCCUGACCGUGCGAAGGUAGCGUAAUCAUUUGUUUUUUAAUUAAAGACCUGUAUGAAAGACCACACGAGAAUCACACUGUCUCCUUUCUUCAAUCAGUGAAACUAAUCUCCUCGUGCAAAAGCGAGAAUAACCUUAUAAGACGAAAAGACCCUGUGGAGCUUCAAACACCCAACACCUGUUGAAAUAACCCCUAUUUCUACCCACCCAUAACAGUCUGAUUGUGAGUUUUCGGUUGGGGUGACCAUGGGGAAAAAAUAAACCCCCAAGAUGAACCAGAAUUUUCUUUAAUUUAGAGCUACAACUCUACAUAUCAGAACACUGACAUUAAUUGACCCUUCUUGAUCAACGAACCAAGUUACCCCAGGGAUAACAGCGCAAUCUACUUUAAGAGCACGUAUCGACAAGUAGGCUUACGACCUCGAUGUUGGAUCAGGGUAUCCCAGUGGCGCAGCCGCUACUAAAGGUUCGUUUGUUCAACGAUUAAAACCCUACGUGAUCU